rnacentral:rRNA from 1 species
GGGUCAGUAGGUUGGUCGUGCCACCGGUACGUACUGGUCUCACUGAUUCCUCCUUCCUCAAGAACCGUAAUGCCAUUAAUUUGGUGUUGCGGGGAAACAGGACUGUUACUUUGAAAAAAUUAGAGUGUUUAAAGCAAGCUAACGCUUGAAUACAUUAGCAUGGAAUAAUGAAAUAGGACGAUCGAUCCUAUUUUGUUGGUUUCUAGGAUUGACGUA